UGUUUCCUCAUGCUCUCUUGUCAUCGUUACAUCAGGUUUAUCCGGUUUUUGUUUAACGCAUUUGUUGAUGAGUGGAAAGUUUUUCACUUCAUCCAUUGUCUUCUGGAAAUGGCAGGAAAAAGGGGUGAUAAUACCGAGUGGAGAUUAUGACACGUUCUACCUGAGAAAUGAAAUCAGUUGCUGACACAUCGUCUUGUCGUGGUGUCUUAAUUGUGAGUCAGACGGUAUUUCGAAGUGAUUGUGUGUCAAUAAGUCAAUUGAAAUAAAUCGAUUCAAGUUUAUUCAACGGAAAAUCGUCUGCACUCCUUCAUACGGAAUUUUUUCGGAAAAAGAGAGUAAACGGCAGGAAAUGUAUCUUAUAAACAGUAAAAGUUCACAUCUUCCAGGAAUUUCUCAUCUCCUGCCGAGACUUUUAGACGAUAGCCUUGUCAUCCCACCGUCAUUGAAAAAAACCACGGAAAUAAAAAAAAUAACGAGCAUUGCUCUAAAGGAAAAUAAAAACCACGAGAGAGGACUUGGGUAUUUCUUCAGACAAUUGUUGUAAAUUUGUUUGUAAGAUUUUCCAGAUAAUUUCACAACGUUGCCUGAGACUUUCAGCCGAUACUCUUGACGUUGUCAUUGUCAUUGAGAAAAACCACGUAAUUACACCCACAAGGACACCCCAGACUCAUUAAACGAGAAACGAGUUCGGUUCGACUUCUCGUCUUUCCUUCAUUCCUGGGUGACGUUAACACUAUGUACAAUCUAUUUUUAAAUUGGUCAAGAAGGAUAGGAAUGAUAUCGAACUGAGAGUCAUUUUUUUUUGUAUCUGGAGCGAGAGGGUGUUUCGGGGGUGGAUUUAUACUUUUGUACUGGGGGUUUAUUUCAGGAGACCCCAAUUGGCAAAGGAGGGAGGGUGUUCUCGUGACGAAUCCAUAAAAACGGGGAUAUCCAAAACCAACUGUGUGACACAGACGACUCAUUGCAGAGGGGAAUUAAAGGGGGGCGAAUGUAUUGGAGUCAUGUGUCCUUGUCCACCGAAAAUAUGUGUUUUGUGGAGAGAGACAAUUCCUCAAUUUGAUGAAAAAUUAUUUACUCAUUUAUUUAUUUAUUUAUCACGAUUAAAUUUACAAGUGACCAUUUACUAUUGGUUUUAUAUACAAAAACUCAACUCAAUUUCGGGAAUCGGAAAUUCUGCUUGGAAUUUUUCGUGAUAAUAAAUUAAUCAUUUUGCAUUUGUAUAAACAGAAAAUUCCUGGUUUUUAUUUAUAAUUGUUUGUAAUAUGACUUUUUACUUUCUGCUCCAUUUUUCUUUGAAUUGAAAAUCUCGUAAUUUCGUGGAAGUUUGAUGAAAUUGUCAUUUUCAGGCUGACGAUACUGAAAAAUGAGGGAAAGUAGAGAAAAUUUGGAUAAUGACUUUCUUAAAUUAUCAAGCUAUCCGAAAUUUAAUGGAAUUUAAUGGUCAAUUUUCAUAAUGAGAUUUAAAUUCGAACCUGUCCUUGAAAUAUCAAUGAUCCCUAUCCAUGAAAAUUUAAGUUUAAUUGCGAUUGUUACUGUUGAAUUAGAGAGAAUUAGAGAAAUUUUUAAAUGCCUGAAAGA